rnacentral:rRNA from 1 species
CAGCAGCCGCGGUAAUACGUAGGGUGCAAGCGUUAAUCGGAAUUACUGGGCGUAAAGCGUGCGCAGGCGGUGAUGUAAGACAGUUGUGAAAUCCCCGGGCUCAACCUGGGAACUGCAUCUGUGACUGCAUCGCUGGAGUACGGCAGAGGGGGAUGGAAUUCCGCGUGUAGCAGUGAAAUGCGUAGAUAUGCGGAGGAACACCGAUGGCGAAGGCAAUCCCCUGGGCCUGUACUGACGCUCAUGCACGAAAGCGUGGGGAGCAAACAGGAUUAGAUACCCCCGUAGUCCCUGUCUCUUAUAC